GAAAUGCGAUAAGUAAUGUGAAUUGCAGAAUUCAGUGAAUCAUCGAAUCUUUGAACGCACAUUGCGCCCGCCAGUAUUCUGGCGGGCAUGCCUGUUCGAGCGUCAUUACAACCCUCAGGCCCCCCGGGCCUGGCGUUGGGGAUCGGCGGAAGCCCCCUGCGGGCACAACGCCGUCCCCCAAAUACAGUGGCGGUCCCGCCGCAGCUUCCAUUGCGUAGUAGCUAACACCUCGCAACUGGAGAGCGGCGCGGCCACGCCGUAAAACACCCAACUUCUGAAUGUUGACCUCGAAUCAGGUAGGAAUACCCGCUGAACUUAAGC
rnacentral:misc_RNA from 1 species